rnacentral:rRNA from 1 species
UGAGUACGAGAUGCUACGGCAUCGAAGCAGUCUAUGUCAUACUUCCAAGAAAAGCUCGCACUGUCAAAAACAAAUGAAUGCCUGUACCAUAACCGACACAGGUGGGUAGGUAGAGUAUGCUAAGGGGCGCGAGAUAACUCUCUCUAAGGAACUCGGCAAAAUGACUCCGUAACUUCGGGAGAAGGAGUGCCUUAUUUAUAAGGUUGCAAUAACCAGCUCCAAGCAACUGUUUAUCAAAAACACAGGUCUCCGCUAAGUCGUAAGACGAUGUAUGGGGGCUGACGCCUGCCCAGUGCCAGAAGGUUAAAGAAGUUGGUUAGCGCAAGCGAAGCUGAUAACUGAAGCCCUGGUGAACGGCGGCCGUAACAAUAACGGUCCUAAGGUAGCGAAAUUCCUUGUCGGGUAAGUUCCGACCCGCACGAAAGGCGUAAUGAUUUGGAGGCUGUCUCGGAGAGGGACUCGGUGAAAUAGACUUGUCUGUGAAGAUGCGGACUACCUGCACCAGGACAGAAAGACCCUAUGAAGCUUUACUGUAACUUGAGAUUGAAAUUGGACUUUAUUCGCGCAGUAUAGGUGGGAGGCAUUGAAAAUAUUCUUGCGGGAAUAUUGGAGCCAUCAGUGAGAUACCACUCUUGUAAUGUUAGAUUUCUAACUUUGUAUCAUUAUCUGGUCAAAGAACAGUUUCAGGCGGGCAGUUUGACUGGGGCGGUCGCCUCCUAAAUGGUAACGGAGGCGCACAAAGGUUUCCUCUGAACGGGUAGAAAUCGUAUCUAGAGUGUAAAGGCAUAAGGAAGCUUGACUGUGAGACCUACAAGUCGAGCAGGGACGAAAGUCGGUCUUAGUGAUCUGACGGUGCUGAGUGGAAAGGCCGUCACUCAACGGAUAAAAGUUACUCUAGGAUAACAGGCUGAUCUCCCCCAAGAGUUCACAUCGACGGGGAGGUUUGGCACCUCGAUGUCGGCCCAUCGCAUCCUGGGGCGGUAGUACGUCCCAAGGGUUGGGCUGUUCGCCCAUGAAAGCGGUACGCGAGCUGGGUUCAGAACGUCGUGAGACAGUUCGGUCCGUAUCCGGUGUAGGCGUUAGAAUAUUGAGAGGAGCCUUCUUUAGUACGAGAGGACCGAGAAGGACAUACCUCUGGUGUACCAGUUAUCGUGCCAACGGUAAACGCUGGGUAGCCAUGUAUGGAGUGGAUAACCGCUGAAAGCAUCUAAGUGGGAAGCCCACCUCAAGAUAAGUAUUCUC